ACAGCCAUAUUACGUUGAAACACCGGUUUCCGUAUGAUCACCGAAAUUAAGCAACGUUGAGUCUGGUCAGUACCGAUGGGUAACCGUUUGGGAAUACCAGAUGCUGUAA